AUGGCCUCCGACGGCGUGAUCACUCACCGCCACGUCGACGUGAACGGGGUGCGCCUGCACGUCGCGGAGGCCGGGCCGGCGGGCGCGCCCGUGGUGCUGCUGCUGCACGGGUUCCCGCAGCUGUGGUACACCUGGCGGCACCAGAUGCCCGCGCUGGCCGCGGCGGGCUACCGCGCCGUCGCGCCCGACAUGCUCGGCUACGGCGACUCCGACGCGCCCUCCGGCGGCCCGGACCAGUACACCGCGCUGCAUGUCGUCGGCGACCUCGUCGCGCUCAUCGACUCCCUCGGCGAGAAGCAGGUCUUCGUGGUGGCGCACGACUGGGGCGCCUUGAUAGCCUGGAGCCUCUGCCUGUUCCGGCCUGACAGGGUGAAGGCACUGGUCGCCCUGAGCGUCGCCUUCAACCCUCGGAACCCGGCGGUGAAGCCCGUGGACGGCUUCAGGGCUCUGUACGGGGAUGACUACUACGUCUGCCGCUUCCAGCCUGGAGCAGCUGAAGCAGAAUUUAGGCGCCUUGGUAUAGAGUCGGUGUUAAGAAAGUUUUUCGUUUAUCGAACUCCUGAUGAGGAGGUGCCCUUGCCGAGUUGGAUCACGGAGGAGGACUUCAAGUACUACACGACCCAGUUUGACAAGUCUGGUUUCACCGGGGGAUUGAACUACUACCGUGCUUUGAAUAAGACAUGGGAUCUAACUUCACCAUGGACCGGAGCUAAGAUAACGGUACCAACCAAGUUCAUUGUUGGUGAUUUGGAUCUAACAUACAAUACUGCGGGGGCACAAGAUUUCAUAAACAAAGGAGGCUUCAAAAAGUUUGUUCCAUUACUGGAUGAUGUGGUGAUAAUGAAGGAUGUCGCACAUUUCAUUAACGAAGAAAAACCAAAGGAAAUUAGUGCACAUAUAAUCAACUUCAUAAAUAAAUUCAACUAA
rnacentral:rRNA from 1 species